GAAGGACAGUUGUGAACACGCUGAGAUGAAUAAAGAUGGAAAUUCUCUUGGAAUACCUCAUAAGAGGAGUAAUCAUUGAAAAGUCAGUAAGCAUGCCAAUAAUUCAUCUCCAGAGAGGUCAACUUUGCAGCCAGAACCAGAACAGAAGCAUGAGUCAAGUUCUUUUACCAAGAACGUCACAUUUUGCUAGAACAUGUCCUCCAAUUUCUAGAUAUGAAGUGAUGGAUGUAAAAGUCUUCAGAGACGUGUAGUCCAAAAAAGUACAGAGCAUGGUUAGUCAGGAUAUUAACCUUAAUAUGUUAGACGAAAGAGGAG
rnacentral:lncRNA from 1 species